rnacentral:lncRNA from 1 species
UCAACGGAGCUCCCAGGUUGAGUCUUGAGCAGGUUGGUCAGGAAGGCUGAGGUGGGGCAGGUGAAGGUGGAGAGGGCAUGAGAGAAAGAUCGAGAGUUCAGACAUGCAAAGCAGUAAAGCUGAAAUGCCUGCAGCACAGCCAAGGAGGCAGCUGAAUAUAGGAAACCAGAGCUCAGAGGAGAAAUCUGAAAUGGUUCACAUAGCCUAAUCAUGAAAAAGACACCAGACAAAU